rnacentral:lncRNA from 1 species
CAGCCGGUCUGCAUCUCCCUCUUCGGGCGUCGGCCGUCUCCAUCCUCCAGCCGCCGAGCUUCCCCCUGCAUGGACGCGUCUGCGAUGGUCUUCUCCCAUGGACUGAACGUCCAUCCCCCUGCAGCUUGGCCAGGGCACGCCCUCUGUUGGGUCCGCCAGCGAUGAGCGCCGGGAAGGGAGGGUGGGGGGCAUCGCCCAAACUUCACCUCUGAGCCCCUGCAUCAGGUUCCUGACAGCGAAAGCCUAGCACCUGCUGCAACCUACCUGCUCGAUGGAAUGCUCAACCUCUCGCCGGAUCUGUGCAGCUCUUACGCGAUGUCGUUGAACCCGGUGAGCUCCUCGCUGUCCCACACUUCUAUGUGUUUGAUUAAAUGUCUAAACUAGUGUGGCAUCGUUGCUCGCAGCUAGUUGUUGACACUGCUCCUCGUGCAUCGCUUAUUCGACAAAAAUCCCAAGCCCAUGGACAGCACACGCGACAUGCGCAACCCAAAUCCGAUCGACCAGGUUGUUCGAUGUGUGUGUGUUUUUCUAUCGCUUAUGUGUGUGAUUUGUAGUUUGUUCUAAAUAUGUUCUGGUCGAUGCAGUGUAUAUAUGUGUUUGAAUAUGUUUAGGGGUGAAUGGAAGUGUGUGGAGAAAGAUAGUUAAGUAAAAAGGGAUUAGGAUGUUCAUAUGUUUCCGAUCGUUGUUAGAAGUAAAAUUGAUACAAAGGUUAGGUUGGAAUGUGCGGAUCCGUGUGAUGAACGCAUUUGUUACCUAUGUAUAAAAUAUAUGGUCGAGUAAAUGAAUCGAAUAAUGAGUUAUUUUGUCACUCCAGAUAAUCGAUUCUUAGGCGGCUUUGAAUCCGGCACAUACUCGCGAGGAUUUGCUUGUUGUUGUCUAAAUGUCAUAUUGUGUAUCGUGUCUUGAAUGCAAUAGAAAAAUAAAUACUUCAAGUGCAGCUGAUGGGUUAUGUUCUAG